GGGCGGUUAGCUCAGUUGGUAGAGCGCGACGUUUGCAUCGUCGAGGCCGGGGGUUCAAAUCCCCCAUCGUCCA
rfam:Giardia lamblia ATCC 50803 SC_573 genomic scaffold, whole genome shotgun sequence.